CCUACGGGCGGCAGCAGUCGAGAAUCAUUCACAAUGGGGGAAACCCUGAUGGGGCGACGCCGCGUGGGGGAAUGAAGGUCUGCGGAUUGUAAACCCCUGUCAUGGGGGAGCAAAGUAAAAAGAUAGUACCACAAGAGGAAGAGACGGCUAACGCAGUGCCAGCAGCCGCGGUAAGACAGAGGUCGCAAGCGUUGUUCGGAAGCACUGGGCGGAAAGCGUGCGGAGGCUGUUUCGUAAGUCGUGUGUGCAAGGCGCGGGCUCAACCCGCGGACGGCACAUGAUACUGCGAGACUAGAGUAAUGGAGGGGGAACCGGAAUUCUCGGUGUAGCCGU
rnacentral:rRNA from 1 species